GGGACGGCUGACAUUUGUACAAAUCCUAAACAGAUUUUUAAGUAGAGCCGUCUAAUUCGGUCCAAGGACGAAAUCAAAAGGAUAUAGAGACAUUCGAAAAAUUCAAAGGCUUUGUACGAAUAGAUUAGGGAGAGGAUGUGCGAAGAUGGUUACGCUCGAGUUGAGCUCGAGUCGCGAUUCUUUGCUGGAUUUUGCACGCGUUUUCUGAGUUAUUAUCGUG
rnacentral:misc_RNA from 1 species